AUUGAACGCUGGCGGCAGGCCUAACACAUGCAAGUCGAGCGGCUCGGGGGAGGGGUACGGAAUGCCAAGGAAUCUGCCUGGUAGUGGGGGAUACGGUCCGGUACCGGGCGCUAAUACCACAUACUCUAGGCUGCACCUGGGUCGGAUUGGCUUGUUCGUGGGGUAAAGGCCUACCCAGGCGACGGUCCGUAGCUGGUCUGAGAGGAUGAUCAGUCACACUGGAACUGAGACACGGUCCAGACUCCUACGGGAGGCAGCAGUGGGGAAUAUUGCACAAUGGGCGAAAGCCUGAUCCAGCCAUGCCGCGUGUGUGAAGAAGGUCUGCGGAUUGUAAAGCACUUUAAGUUGGGAGGCGUUACCAACAGAAUAAGCACCGGCUAACUUCGUGCCAGCAGCCGCGGUAAUUC
rnacentral:rRNA from 1 species